rnacentral:rRNA from 1 species
AUUGCAGGCUGCAGCUCGCCUGCAUGAAGCUGGAAUUGCUAGUAAUCGCGGAUCAGCAAGCCGCGGUGAAUACGUUCCCGGGCCUUGUACACACCGCCCGUCACACCAUGAGAGUCGGGAACACCCGAAGUCCGUAGUCUAACCGCAAGGGGGCGCGGCCGAAGGUGGGUCCGGUAAUUGGGGUGAAGUCGUAACAAGGUACC